GGAGAGAUGGUAGAGUGGUCGAUUACAACGGUCUUGAAAACCGUCGCACCGAGAGGUGCCGGGGGUUCGAAUCCCUCUCUCUCCGCAA
rnacentral:tRNA from 1 species